rfam:Strongylocentrotus purpuratus Contig90534_fixed, whole genome shotgun sequence.
GGCAUGGUGGCUCAGUGGUUAGAGCGCCCACCUCAUGAACGGGAGGUCGUCGGUUCGAACCCCGGUCGAGUCA